rnacentral:rRNA from 1 species
CCUACGGGAGGCAGCAGUGGGGAAUAUUGGGCAAUGGGCGCAAGCCUGACCCAGCCACGCCGCGUGAAGGAAGACGGCUCUCGGGUUGUAAAAUUCUUUUGUUAGGGACGAAACAAGUGACGGUACCUGACGUAUAAGCCUCGGCUAACUACGUGCCAGCAGUAGCGGGUAUACGUCGGUGGCAGGCGUUCUCCGGAUUUACUGGGUGUAAAGGGUUGGUAGGGGGGGAAGCAAGGCAGAUGUUAAAACCACGGGGUCAACCUGUGGCCUGCAUGUGAAACUGUUUUUCUUGAGUGCUGGAGAGGCAAGCGGAAGGCCGGGUGUAGCGGGGAAAUGCGUAGAUAUACGGAGGAACACCGGUGGCGAAGGCAGAUUACUGGACAGUAACUGACGCUGAGGCGCGAAAGCGUGGGGAGCAAACAGGAUUAGAUACCCCGGUAGUC